UGUUUUUAAAGUGUGGAUAACUUUUUCUAUGUUUCAGACAGAGCUCAGACCCCUCUGGAAGAGACAAUUUGCAGAAAUAAGACUCGAGAUACAUGCAAACUUAGGCAACAGACUAGGCAGUAUCUCCAGAAAGGAUGGCUGUAUUUCCAUGACAGGUUGUAUUAUAUAUCUUCCACCGAGAAAACUUGGCAUGAGAGCAAAGAGUACUGCAGGCAACAAGGCGCUGAGCUGGUGAUCAUAAACAACAAAGAGGAACAGGACUUUACAAGGCAGUUUAACAGGUUGACAUGGAUUGGAUUGCAUGACCCAGCUAUGACAAGGGAGUGGACAUGGGUGAACGGAGAUCCUCUUAUCACAAGCUACUGGGGACCUGGAGAGCCAAACGGUUAUGAAAACAACACUGAAAGCUGUGUAGAGAUAAGGGAUUUUAACUGGAAUGAUGAACCCUGUGGCAAUCAAAAGUUUUGGAUCUGUGAGAAAGAUGGAGUCUUUUAAAUACCAAAAUACAUCCUUUGAAAUUGAUCAUAUAAAUGUAAAAAUAACAAUAAUAUCAGCAUUAUAUAAUUUGAUCUUUGCAUAGUUUUUUAAAAGUUGAAAGCAAAUACUGUAAAUGCCCUCAU